CCUACGGGAGGCAGCAGUGGGGAAUAUUGGACAAUGGGGGGAACCCUGAUCCAGCGACGCCGCGUGAGUGAAGAAGUAUUUCGGUAUGUAAAGCUCUAUCAGCAGGGAAGAAAGAAAUGACGGUACCGGACCAAGAAGCCACGGCUAACUACGGGCCAGCAGCCGCGGGAAUACGUAGGGGGCAAGCGUUAUCCGGAUUGACUGGGUGUAAAGGGAGCGUAGACGGCGAGGCCAGUCUGAAGUGAAAGGCGGGGGCCCAACCCCCGGACUGCUUUGGAAACUGUAUGGCUGGAGUGCAGGAGAGGUAAGUGGAAUUCCUAGUGUCGCGGUGAAAUGCGUAGAUAUUAGGAGGAACCCCAGUGGCGAAGGCGGCUUACUGGACUGUAACUGACGUUGAGGCUCGAAAGCGUGGGGAGCAAACCGGAUUAGAUACCCGAGUAGUC
rnacentral:rRNA from 1 species